rnacentral:lncRNA from 10 species
AGUAUCCUCCUUUGACAGACGAGGAAAUGAAGCACAGAGAAGGUCAAGGUCCAGGCUGGAAGGGGACCACUUCGAAUCUUGAAUGCAGGGGCAAACAGCUCAAGACACCAUGGCUGAUGAAGACGCUAUGUACACGCUUUCCAGUAUGAAAACCAAUGAGCUACAUGGGGCUGGCGAACACUUGAAAGGUGGUGAGUUAGAGUUGAGAUGUGCUGGACGUGUAAAAUAAUACAUCCUGGAGUUUGAAGACUUUUGUAUAAAAUUACUUAAGAUAUCUGAAUUUUUCAAAUGUCGAUUUUUU